AAUGAUGGAGGUGCAGGCAUUUCCUGAGGAUUAAUGACCAGCUGGGAGGAACCAGUGGCCCUUGGCUCUGCCUCCCAGCCAGCCAUUAAUUCCAAGGAAAUGUCUUUUGCUAAGGUCGUU
ensembl:miRNA